CUGAGUGUUUCCUUAUGCCUUGGAUUUAUAGUCAGGGGGUGUGGCUGGGGUCCACUCUCCCUUCAACCACUGUAAAUGUGAAAUCCAGUGAGCAAGUGGGAGGAAUGAGAGAAUAUGGGGACUCUUUCUCUUUCUCCCUCUGUCUCUUUCACUCCACUAAAUGGGAGCUGUACUUGAAUUAAUGGAAAUAGCUGCCUGGAGAUGCCCAAGAUGGCUGCAGAGUGGACUGACUGACUGAAACGGGACUUUGGUCUGGGUUUCUGGGGUGUUUUUAAAGAGCCGUCAAGUUCACUCUGAAGUCAUGAGCUAAGUGGCCUCAGAGUCUUUCAAGGCUCCGGUUCUGUGACUGUGGAUAUGCUUAGUUUCAUUCACUGAGGUGAUGCUAGACCUGACAGAGGAUGGAGGGUCUUCCAGCCAGUGAAAUGUGCUUCUGCCACUUUUGUCUACUAUGCUCAUAAAGUUCAACCAUAUAUGCGUGGACAGAGGCUCCUUGUGAAAAACAAGAUGGCCAUGCAGAGCUUUGCCAAGAGAAACAUAAGUAGACAGAAAAGCGUGCACAAGCCUGAAGAACAUUCUUCUCUUCAUGGCAGAUCCAUCAUUUUUGAGUUCCACAUGGUUUGUGUCUGAAACGUUAUGCAGUGUAUUAUAAUGUGUUGGGUUUGUUUAACCUUUCUUCUCCCUCUCUGAACCUGAUACGUUCCUUUAUUGCUGAUUGACUUGUCUGAUCUAUUUCUUACAUUUUAUGAGUUGGAGUUAUAAUGCAACUUUCGCAAGCAAUGCCACACAAAAAAAUUGUUAUUAAAAUAAUCUGUGCUUUUACAUACUUGAUAUACUUUGAGAAUCUGUCAAAUGUCGUAUUCAGAAUGUUAUAUUUACAACACAAUGUUACUUUCAUUAAAACAGAGAUUAUUUGUGGUGUUCAUUCACAUUUAUGCAGAGAAUUUGAAGAUACAGAUUGUUCUGUUUGAGCCCACAUACAUAUACAUGUGGUUUUGAUGUCAGCAAGAUUCAGUAUCACUCAAAAUGUAUUAUGCUGAAUAAUUUAGAUGCAUGGAAAUGCAAACUCUCAGCCAAAACAGUUUUCCGUCUUAUUUUUUUUUCCCACUCAAGUAUGUUGUUGUAGAUAGUAAUAUCUGACUUGGCUGUACACAAUGGCAAAACCCAAUGUAACACCUUCUGCUUCAGAAAAGCACAUGUGUCUGAAUCAGUGUUAUGUGAUUCAGAAGUGAGAUUUAACAGUGACUGGUUGCAUAGAUGUAUAUUCUGACAUUUAAUAAACUGUUAUAAUGAAGUGGAGGUCCAUAGGGCUUACAUUUUCCCUGAUACAAAACAUAAAAUGUUUGAUUUUAUUAUUGAAAGUUCUCUAUAUGAGAUAUGGC
ensembl:lncRNA